rnacentral:lncRNA from 9 species
CACGUGGUGUGGUCUCGACGCUGGGGGCGCGGGUCAAUCCUAUCCAGACUGCCCAGCUCUGUAGAAAGCACAAUCCCGCGGCCACCCCAGGCUGCCACGAGCAUCUGCUCUAAGAGCCCAGGGCCCUGCGAGGCCUGAGAGGUGGGGGAAGAAGCUGGGAGCUGUGAGUGGUCACCUAAAGAUGCUCAGAGGUUAAGGGCUCUCUCAGGAGCCAGCAGGGAGCAUGGCCAGGCCCAAGAGAUGGAACUGUGCUGUCUGAAGCAAGAGAAUAAAAAGACUACAAGGAGGCCAGUUUAGACCUGAUUGAAGACCAACGUGCUGGGGUGACCGUGUCCUUGUUCUGAGGUCAAGUCCAAGUGGUGACCGGGACCUUCAGUUCUCUGUGUGUGGAUUUGACUGACCUCAGGACGUGUGACUCACGGAAGGAAGGUGGACAGGCUACGUUCCCCACCGGAGGAGGCAGCAGCCACGCCCCCUCAGUGGAGGAAUUUGGGGACAGUCCAGCUUGAAGACCGUGGGCCACGUGGAUGCAUGUGGCCUGCUGGUCCGGCUGUCACGGGUCCACCAUGGGAUCUGCUCUGACCAGGUUCCUACAGGCUGAGUGUCCAAGGAUCCUGAAAGCAUUGCACCAUCAUUUCUGCUGUCACUACUGUCCAGUGUUAGCCGUGAUGGGGCUGCU